rnacentral:piRNA from 1 species
UACCUAUCUGUACACUUUUCA